rnacentral:rRNA from 1 species
AACGAACGCUGGCGGCAUGCCUAACACAUGCAAGUCGAACGAGACCUUCGGGUCUAGUGGCGCACGGGUGCGUAACGCGUGGGAACCUGCCCUUAGGUUCGGAAUAACUCCCCGAAAGGGGUGCUAAUACCGGAUAAUGUCUUCGGACCAAAGAUUUAUCGCCUUUGGAUGGGCCCGCGUUGGAUUAGCUAGUUGGUAGGGUAAAAGCCUACCAAGGCGACGAUCCAUAGCUGGUCUGAGAGGAUGAUCAGCCACACUGGGAAUGAGACACGGCCCAGACCACUCCGUGCGGCAGGUGUGGGGAGUAGGGUGAAAAGGGCGAUAGUAUGACAAAGCCAUUCUACGUGAAUGAAAAAGGGCUUAGGAGGGUAAAAUUCUUUCGUCCGGGCCGAUAAAGGCGGCACCGGGAGCAGAAGAGAAGGAUAAGCUGAUC